CCUACGGGGGGCAGCAGUGAGGAAUAUUGGUCAAUGGACGAGAGUCUGAACCAGCCAAGUAGCGUGAAGGAUGACUGUCCUAUGGGUUGUAAACUUCUUUUAUAUGGGAAUAAAAUGUUCCACGUGUGGGAUUUUGUAUGUACCAUAUGAAUAAGGAUCGGCUAACUCCGUGCCAGCAGCCGCGGUAAUACGGAGGAUCCGAGCGUUAUCCGGAUUUAUUGGGUUUAAAGGGAGCGUAGGUGGAUUGUUAAGUCAGUUGUGAAAGUUUGCGGCUCAACCGUAAAAUUGCAGUUGAAACUGGCAGUCUUGAGUACAGUAGAGGUGGGCGGAAUUCGUGGUGUAGCGGUGAAAUGCUUAGAUAUCACGAAGAACUCCGAUUGUGAAGGCAGUUCACUGGACUGCAACUGACACUGAGGCUCGAAAGUGUGGGUAUCAAACAGGAUUAGAUACCCUAGUAGUC
rnacentral:rRNA from 1 species